GGCUUGGAUGGCCUGCCGGUCAAUUUAAUCCGGCCCCCAAGGCAGUAUAUGUCCUGGGGUAAAAUCCUAAAAAAUGCUCAACAACUUUGGGGUAAAAUUUUAAAAAAAGCUUAGCAACUUAAGCUCAACAACUCCAAUCCUAAAAAACGCUCAACAACUUUUGGGUUAAAUCCCUAAAAAGGUCAACAACUUUGGGGUAAACUUGUAAAAAAAAAAAAGCUUUGGUCGGCCCUCAUGCAUGUUCACUUCAUCAAAUCUGGCCCUCUUUUUAAAAAGUUCGGACACCCCGGUUAAGCGGUGUUGCAGUACACCUCUGAAGACUAGAAGUGUUGGAUUCAUAGAAUUUUAGAGUUGGAAAGGACCUCGAGGAUCAUCUAGUCCAGUACAGGAAUAUGUAACUGUCCCAUACAGGGAUCGAACCUGCAACCUUGGCAUUAUCCGCACUAGGCACUAACCAACUGAGCUAUCCAGUGCUGCUCCAGCUUAAAGGGUUCCAGGGGCAACUGAUUGGCAUGUGGCCCCCAGAGGGUUGGUUUAGGGUGAAUGCAACCCUCAAGCAAAAAACACACACACAAAAAACCAGACUCCCUGCCAUAGAUAAUUCUGGGAAGUGGCUGUUUUUGAAGGGCUCCUGUAGCUUCUCGAUGGGAAGACUAAUACUGUGUUCUGUCACUAGGUGUCACUGUUUGCAGUUUGUCUCCUAUUGAAAGAACAAAGGUCUAAGCCAGGCAUGUCCAAAGUCUGUUUCGGGGGCUUGAUCCGGCCCGUGUGGCAGUUUAUUUCCUGGGAGAAAAUCCUAAAAAAACCUCAACAACUUCAAUCCUAAAAGCUCAACAACUUUGGUCGGCCCCCACAGCCCUUCACUUCAUCAAAUCUGGCCCUCUUUGAAAAACGUUUGGACACCAGUGGGACUCUUAAGCAUAAAGCUGUCCAUUCCUCACGUACAUGAUUUGAGCACUGUCAUGGCAGUGGAUAAAACCCAUGAAUUAUUACAUGCAGAAAAAUAAAUGAGUGGUGUACGUUCAAUCUACAAAGAAAAUUGUAUGCAAAUUAAACAGAAUAUUCAAUUUGUUUAUUAACAAUAAGUAAUACCAGCAAUGAACCAUCAUCUUCCCUUUUUUAUUGUUUUACUGGAGUCUGCUUAGUGGGUGCCUGGAACUCCCAUGUGACAAUACCAUAUCAUGCGUUUGGACAUUUCGGUUAUCAAAAACUGAAUAAAAUUAAGUGAAGUGGAGCUUUCCCACGGGGACCAGAGUACAGGAAUUAGCAUGUGGGAGCAGCAGUAGAAAACAGAAAUGUGUGUUCGUAUGUGAAAUCCCUCUGUGCAUUGCAGAAAUGUCAUUAUUUUGGCAGCAGCAACCCACUUACUCUUCCCUUUAGUGAGCCCUUUCUUAAGUAAACAUGUUGCAGACUGCAUUCCUUUGGUGUGUGUGUGUGUUUGAUAUUUCCUGCAACUUCCAAAUACAACUCAAAAACAAAACGCUGCUCAAGUCGGCUGUGGACUCAGCAGAAAGAGAAGGUUUAUAUCUCCACUCAUUCUACAAUGCUGGGUAUUUCCUGUAAUUCCCUCGAUCUCCCCCACUCCAUCACAACUGUCUAGACGCAUCUCCAAACUACCAUUAACCCUGAGUCCCGUCGUCGUGUUAAAAAUAGCGGAUGUAUAAGCAUAAAGCUUGCGGUGACGGGAAAAUGGUAGGUUGCGCUUCGGUACCCCACAAGCCAGCUAUUUUGAGGAAAGAAACAUUUAAUUUGCAAAAAAAAAAAAGGGACUUGAGGAAAUUCUGAAAUGAGUGCAGCAAAGCAUGCCUCGUUGACACUGAGGUUGCAAAAUGAGAUAUUUCAGCAGGAGAGCGAUUAGAAUUGUGGAAUAAAGUUGCUGUUGUUUAGUCGUGUCUGACUCUGCGUGACCCCAGGGACCAGAUCAUGCCAGGCACUCCUGUCUUCCACUGCCUCCCGCAGCUUGGUCAACCUCAUGUUAGUGGCCUCGAGAACACUGUCCAACCAUCUCGUCCUCUGUUGUCCCCUUCUCCUUGUGCCCUCCAUCUUUCCCAGCAUCAGGGUCUUUUCCAGGGAGUCAUCUCUUCUCAUGAGGUGGCCAAAGUAUUGGAGCCUCAGCUUCACGAUCUGUCGUUCCAGUGAGCACUCAGGGCUGAUUUCCUUCAGAAUGGAUAGGUUUGAUCUUCUUGCAGUCCAUGGGACUCUCAAGAAUCUCCUCCAGCACCAUAAUUCAAAAGCAUCAAUUCUUUGGCUAUCAGCCUUCCUUAUGGUCCAAUAUAGUUACUCUGGAUUAAAUCACAUCUGCACCAAAAGUCUUGAUUCAGUUGACACUUUUCAGGGUGGGGCAAUUCAUCUUAGGCAUUGGUUUGGACAAUGAUUAAAACACACACACACACACACACACACACACACACACGCACGCACUCUAACUCCCAAGAGUGCACUUCACAUCUGACACAAUGCAUAUGCGUUUUGUACAAGUGCAGAAAUAUCGCAUAUAACACAGCCCCAACUCUGACUUAAGGGUUGCAGAAUGUGAAAUGCAGUUGGCAAAUGCCAAUAGGUUACCUUUGAAGCUACAGAGCUUCUAUCCUAAUUUCUCUUCCUAAUUAGGGCUUCCAAUCUCUGCUUUUCACUCUGUAGCCCCCACAAAUUCAUAGGAGUUGCGGACUGCUGAAGGAUGGGGAAAUUGACAGAAAUCCCUCCCCUCUUGCGUGAAUAAAAGAGCUGGUAAAACUUGUAUUGAAAACAAGUAAUUUUAGGGAGGAAAUCCCAGAGAGAAUUGUUAGAUGUUUAAAAAUACAGUGGUACCUCAGGUUAAGAACUUAA
rnacentral:lncRNA from 1 species